UACGUAGGCAGCAAGCGUUGUUCGGAGUUACUGGGCGUAAAGGGUGUGUAGGCGGUCUUUUAAGUUUGGUGUGAAAUCUCCCGGCUCAACUGGGAGGGUGCGCCGAAUACUGAAAGGCUAGAGUGCGGGAGAGGAGCGUGGAAUUCCUGGUGUAGCGGUGAAAUGCGCAGAUAUCAGGAGGAACACCAGCAGCGAAGGCGGCGCUCUGGGCUGGAACUGACGCUGAGGAGCGAAAGCGUGGGUAGCAAACAGG
rnacentral:rRNA from 1 species